AUACGGGGGGAGCGAACGUUGUUCGGAUUUACGGGGCGUAAAGGGCGUGUAGGCGGCUUCGCAAGUCAGGGGUGAAAUGUCCAGGCUCAACCUGGGACCUGCCUCUGAAACUGCAGAGCUUGAGGUCGUGAGAGGAGAUUGGAAUUCCUAGUGUAGCGGUGAAAUGCAUAGAUAUUAGGAAGAACACCAGUGGCGAAGGCGAAUCUCUGGCACGAUUCUGACGCUGAUGCGCGAAAGCUAGGGGAGCGAACGGGAUUAGAAACCCCAGUAGUCC
rnacentral:rRNA from 1 species